AGCGAUCUGAUUGGUUGCUAUGGGCAACUCAGCAACAUUUCCUCUGGACGGGUUUUGAUAAAUUUCCCCCAACAUCUAUGGCUGCAUGGAAUGCUGGGAAAGGUCAAAGACAAGAACCCUCGAACAGCUGUCUACAGACUCUUUGGAUGAAGAGAGAUGAAGUUUUGGCUGGAAGGAGACAUCAUGGCGGUCUGAGUCGGACAGGGAAGAAAAGGAAAGAGGACGACGCUGAUCAGAAAAGACGUGACCUGUUGGAGGCGUGCCACGGCGCACUGAAUAAGUAACACUGGAUUUCGCAUUCCUUAUUUUUAUUUUAUUUAUUAUUUUUUGUUGCCUCCUGUGUGACCCAUCCACUGCCUUGGAAAAGAAUGUGCCCACCCUGCGACAGAAGCUACCAGAACUGCAGAGAGCCAUAUGCAAAGAUGGGCAAGUGGACGCAAAGGAGUGACCCAGAGUGAGAGCGAACCGGUCAGCUGUCAUCCGUUGGGAUAUACCCGCCGGGGACCAAAUGCCGGGACGUCCAGGGGAUCGGGUUACCUGCUCCUGAGGACUAUCGCUCCUAGUAAGUGGACACACCUCCACCCCCACGAUGCGCCGGUAUAUCCGGUAACAAGCUACAUCUGCAGAAGCCACAGAGAAUAACAGCAAGGGCGGUGCCAGUUUCCAAGAUGGCGCACGUCCAAGAGCUUAAUGUGAGGACGCAUGGGCAAGGGCACACAUGGAAUUGUUUACAUGAUGUCAUAUCCGCGAGACGACCGGAAAUUCCGGCCGGUAUCUAUACACAACGCGCCACGAGGAAAAUACAGUGGCGUGGAAUAGGAAUACAGUGUGAAAAAGGUGCGCCGCAGCUCCGCCUCCCCUGUGACGUAAGGUAUCACCACCAGAACUCGAUUAUGGAUUAUUGAUUAUACACAAAUCGGACUUGAUUUACACCGUGUGUUGUUUUUUUUCACUUUUAGUUCAUAUGCAGCAGGUCUCUAUAAUAGGUUGCAGUGGGAUUUGUAUUACCUGUAACAUAUGCUCUUAUGAUUUGUAUUAUUUGUAUGUUAAUUAUCACUAAUUAAGCUCCACCAAUCCUGUAUCACUUGUAUUUUUAUAUAUACUCAGCAUUUUGUACUAGUCACUGCUUGACAAAGGCCGUGUGAGAUGGCUAAAACGUCGCACCCUGUGAUGUUUGGUGAAUAAAGCCACAAGUUAUA